rnacentral:snRNA from 1 species
UGCCUCUGUUCUGUAAUCAGAUCGGAUAAAUCUUUCGCCUUUUACUAAAGAUUUCCGUGGCUGCGGAACACAAAGGAGGUUAAUCACAAUUUUUUGACCCCAAUUGGGU